UGGGGAAUUUUGGACAAUGGGCGAAAGCCUGAUCCAGCAAUGCCGCGUGUGUGAAGAAGGCCUUCGGGUUGUAAAGCACUUUUGUCCGGAAAGAAAUCCUUGGCUCUAAUACAGUCGGGGGAUGACGGUACCGGAAGAAUAAGCACCGGCUAACUACGUGCCAGCAGCCGCGGUAAUACGUAGGGUGCAAGCGUUAAUCGGAAUUACUGGGCGUAAAGCGUGCGCAGGCGGUUUGCUAAGACCGAUGUGAAAUCCCCGGGCUCAACCUGGGAACUGCAUUGGUGACUGGCAGGCUAGAGUAUGGCAGAGGGGGGUAGAAUUCCACGUGUAGCAGUGAAAUGCGUAGAGAUGUGGAGGAAUACCGAUGGCGAAGGCAGCCCCCUGGGCCAAUACUGACGCUCAUGCACGAAAGCGUGGGGAGCAAAACAGGAUUAGAUACCCUGGUAGUCCACGUCCUAAACGAUGUCAACUAGUUGUUGGGGAUUCAUUUUCCUUAGUAACGUAGCUAACGCGUGAAGUUGACCGCCUGGGGAGUACGGUCGCAAGAUUAAAACUCAAAGGAAUUGACGGGGUCAUAGCUGUUUCCU
rnacentral:rRNA from 1 species